rnacentral:tRNA from 1 species
GUCCCUGUAGAGGAGCCUGGAGUCCUCGUCACCCUGUCACGGUGAAGACCACGGGUUCAAAUCCCGUCUGGGACG